UUAGCCAUUAGAUGAAUUCGGUGUAAAAUUUACAUCCACUUUUUUUAUGUCCACCAUAGAGCAUUACUCUUCAUUAAUUCUAAAAAUUAGGAUCGGAUUUUAAAAAUAAGAUUGUUAAAUACUCUAUUGAGUCGAAAAUCACUUUUAAAUUCAAAUUCACUUUUUAAAAGCGAGGCGAAACACCCACUAGGUCUCUUUCUUAUUUCCAUACUAGUCUCUUUCUUAUCUCCAUACUAGGGAUGUAAAUGGAUAUGGGUACCCGAAUUUUAUCCUAUUCCAAAUCAGAACGAAGCGGAUUUUAUCCGAUGUAAAUGAAUAUGAAUUCAGGUAUGGAUAUUAAAAAAAAAAAAUUCUGACGGAUUCGGGUUCGGAUAUGGAUAUUUUAAAAAAUCUGAACCCGAACCCGACCCGAACCCGAAAAAAUUUAAUAUAAUAUAAUAUAUAUAAAAAAUUUUAAACCAUUAAAUCUGAAUCCAAAGGCCAAAAAAGUACUUACACUUUUAUAAUAUAAAUCAAAAUACAUAUAUCUUUAUAAUCCAAACCCUAAUAUUCAAAAAUCAAAAUCUUCCUAUUUUCCAAACCCAAAUCCUAAUAUUCAAAAAUCAAAACCUUUUCAUUUCCCAAACCCUUCCAUUUCCAAACCCUAAGGCGAUUGGUUCGAGUUAUGUAAUAUUACAAGUAUCUCGACAUAUCCAGGUAUCUUAAAUUUCGGCGUGAGAUUACUACUGAUGCUAUAUUAGUGGGUUUGGUUUAGCGUAUGUUUGGUUGUUCGUAAGUGAUGGAAGUGAAAAAAAUCACUUUUCAAAAAGUGGCUUUUGUAAAAGUCACUUUUGAGUUCAAGUAUUUGAUUUCAAAAAAGUGGAAGAAAAAAAAUACAAUUUUUAUGACUUCUAUUAUUUGGUUCUAUAUAAGAAAAUAAAAAAAUAAUUUUUUUUAUAUGCUUUUUUUUCUUUGUAGAUGAGUCUCUUUGUUUUUUUUAAAAAAAAUGUGUUGGUUUUUUUUUUAUUAAGAAACGGUGGUUUUUUUUAUUUUUUAUUUUUUAUUUUUUGUGGAUGGUAUGGAAGAAGAUUUUGGAUGCGGUUCGUAAGUCGCGUAGAGUAGGCGGCCCACUUUCAACUGACUUCGGAUUUUUUUUUUGCCGAAGUCAAAACGUGGAUUUUAGUUAUAAUCCACUUUAUGGGUUCAUUUUUCAAAAGUCACUUACAUGUUUACUUUUAUAAUCCAAACAAUCAAAAUAAUCCCACUUCGUCAAAAUACCACUUUUAUUGUUUCACUUACGGGUAACCAAACAUGCCCUUAAUGUAGUAAUGUAAUACUGGAUUGCAAUAUUUAUAGUAUUACUACGUUUGGUUUCAAUCUAUAAAAUUUAGUAAUCCUGACAUAAAAAUAUAGUUUUUUUUCAAAAUUGCCCUUAUUGUGGUCAUUUGAAUAUUAUUUUUCCAAAAUAUAAUUUGCACUAGUAAAUUAAUUAUAUUAAUAAGAAAUAAAAUAAAACGACUAAACAUGAAAAAAAAAAUUAACGUUGCAAAAAAUUAAUUUCAACUCAUAAAAAAAUAAAUGAAAAAAAAAUUAUUAUACAUAAUGAAGAAGUGAUUAAAAAGUAUGCGAAAAUGGCGAAUGGAGGGAAGGAGAUCAUGAUGUAGGAGGACGACACAAUAAAAGAUGAUAGGUGUUUGUGCGAGAGAGAAAGAAAGAGAUAGAGAGAGAGAGAGAGUGCGCGCGGCGUGCGAGAGAGAGAGAGCGAGAGAGAGUAGCGUGCCAGAGAAAGGGGGGAGGGCGUUAGAGAGAGAUGAAAAUAAUGUUGUUAAUUGAGUUUGGGGGUGUUGCAGGGUAAAAUUUUUAUUUUACAUAAUAUGUAGUAUUACCGAUUUUCAGUAAUGCAAGAUACACGACCCCCUUCUCGUUAAUAUUUUCGGUAUAAUUCUGCUCGAUUUGUAAUACUAUAUUAACGACUAGAUUACAUAGUGGAUGAACCAAACACAGUAAUCUUGAUAGAAUUGCCUGUAAUCCUGUCAGGAUAACUCGAAGUAAAGAUACCUUAAUAGUUAAAACCUUAAAAUAGAACUAUUUCAAAACCUUCCCAUUUCCUAAAACCUCAAAAUAGAACUAUUUCAAAACCUUCCCAUUUUCUAAACCCGCUCUAUCUCCAAACCUUAAUAAUUGAAACCUUAAAAGAGAACUAGA
rnacentral:lncRNA from 1 species